ACCGCUCAGACGACCACCUGCUGCAACAUACAAUGAGCUGCAGGUGGCAUAUGGUGCGGAGAUCC
rnacentral:snoRNA from 1 species